AAAACCAAGGUAUGACUGUAUAAGUUCAGUACACACCACCAAUCUAGACAUAGUGUAGGUACCCCUGGAGAGCCUGCAAAUCACUGGAGCACCCUCGAUGUAGAUUUCCUCUCCCAACAUCCCCCCUGCCCUGUUAGGCCUGAUGGAUCCGGGUUGUUAAGAAUGGGAUCACGCAGUCUUAAGCCUAAUACAUUGUGUGGCAAUGUUCCAAUUUUAACAGCGAGAGAACAAGGAGGAAAAAAUAAAAAAAACCAGAAGAAGAUGUCUGUCUAGCCUGAGCCAACUUGCUGGAAACACAUCUGGUUAAAAUUCAAGGUUUUAAAUCUGCAGUAAUAUUUUAGAAAUACAUUUGCAGCCUCAAGUGCUACCUUCAGCGUGGGAAGGAAACGGAAGGGCCUCAUUGUGGCUUUUCACUGCUAAGAAAUGGUUCGUGUUGGUAGAAUUAGCACUUAUACAUCACCAAAAAAUGAGGAGCAAAGAAGUCACAGAAAAUCUGCAUGUUUCUAUUUAUACAUAUAGGUGGGGAUUCACAAUUAAAAUAUGAACACAAUCCAUUUCACCAUUGCAGGAAUGACCAUAAGCAGGUGAGCUCUGUUGCCUGGCCAGUUGGCUGUCCAGUUGCUAACUGCUUCAGUCUUCCUUAGCUGUGACUCCUGCACUACACAGGUUUGGACUUCUCCAACUCAACAGUCCUAUGAUUCUGCGAUUCUGCUAGUCUCCCUCCUUAGAGCUUUCAUCUUCAUCUUUAAACUGCCCUUGGACUGGACAGCCCUUCCAAUAGAGGAUUGUCCUCUAUUGUCCUAAGGGAACUAAGGGUAGAGCGUCUGCUUUUCUGUGAGCGUGCCCAUAGCAGAGAGGCAGGGGGAACCACCUGCAGCAGUGGCAGGACAUGCCCAUAGCAGAGAUGGUGGCAGGGGUGUGGCGGCAGUGGAUGGCGCACUCCUGAGGCCUAUAUCUGCCAUCUGAGGUGACCGCCUCACCUUGCCUCAUGGGCGGGCCGGCCCUGUUCCUAUGCAGCCCUGCAACAAGAAGUCUGUAAAAUAAGGCAGUCUCAUGGGCAGUUAUCUUCAGGUUCUUCUGAGGCAGACAGACAGACAGACAGAUAGAUGUAAUUUAGAAUACUCAUGUAAGGUAAAG